rnacentral:rRNA from 1 species
CGCGUAGGCGGGUUUGUAAGUCAGGGGUGAAAUCCUGCAGCUUAACUGCAGAACUGCCUUUGAUACUGCAGAUCUUGAGUUUGGAAGAGAGAGACGGAAUUCCAGGUGUAGUGGUGAAAUACGUAGAUAUCUGGAAGAACACCAGUGGCGAAGGCGGUCUCUUGGUCCAUAACUGACGCUGAGGCGCGAAAGCGUGGGGAGCAAACAGGAUUAGAUACCCUGGUAGUCC